rnacentral:lncRNA from 1 species
CAAAAAGGGCUUUCUUGGCAAACUAAUUCUAUUUUAUCCUGCUCAUUAUAAUAAUAAAAAAAAAUUUAAAAUAUCAUUCAUAUAAUUUCAUACGUUCUCACCUUAAUACUUUAUGAUUUAGAGUUUAUCAACUAAGUAUUCUAUAAUUUUAUUUUAUUUUUUUAUUAUCGAUUUUAUUAUUUUUUUCGUUAAAUCAGAGAUAAAUUAAAACUAAAGGGUACUAAAAUAUAUAUUUGAUAAAUCUAGGUAGGGUAUCUGAAAUUUUUAUAUAUAAUUUAAUGAAAUAUUAACGAGAAAGCGGAAGAAAAGAUAAAAAUGAAACACAUGACACUAACUUGAUAUACUUUAAACCAUAGAGUACUAAAGUGAGAAAGUACGAAAUUACAUGGGUGGUAUUCGAAGUUUACCCAAAUAAAUGAAAAGACAUGGAUUACUCACCAUCUUUAAAAAUUUUAAAUUAGUACUCUCAUUUGUGAAAUUAAUUUGUGGACAGUUAGAAUUUUCAUAGGAUUUUAUUAACAUUAUAUGUUGGUUUGUUGGAAUUUUUGUUUAGCUGUUAUGAUUAUAUUGCGGGUUGUUAAAAUUUUUGUUAGUUUUUAGAAUUAUAAAUUAGUUGUUGGGAUAUUUAUGUGAUUAUUAAGAUUGUAUAUAAAGAAUAUACAGUCCCGAAAAAUUUAUCAUUUGCUUAUUAGUAGAACUAAGUUAAGUGUAAAUUAUAUUAAAUUAUAGUUUAAUAAAAACUAAUAUUAAAUAUGAUUAUAUAAAGGGUAAUUUUAGAAUAAUUAUAUUUUAUUGUAAGGAUUAUUGAAUUUUAUAAAAACAAGCCAAACAUAAUAAUUCAUAUACAUUAUAAUUCAGCAUUAUAUUAUAUAUUAAACAAAGUAUGAUAAUGCAGGAUCAAUGGUAAUCUGAUUCACAAAACUCAAAUAACUGGAUAUGUCGAAAUAACGUAUAAUAUUACAUAACACGAAACGUGCUCUAAAGAAAAAAUUAGUAAACCAUUUAUUAUUUUUUAUGUUUUAUUAAAAAGAAAAAUAAAAUUGCAUAAAAAAUCCACUAGUUUUGCCCUUUUGCAAAAGUGGGCCAACUUUUUCGAUUUUGUAGAUUCGGGCCGAAUGUUUAGUAAACUGACCAAAAUACCCUUAUACUUUUUUCUCUCUGCUUUUUUUUCUUCUCGCGUUCUUUUUUUUUCUCGCCGAAGAAGGCGACGGAGGCGAAGGCGGAAACGACCCACAUCAUUUCUGCACCUCAUGCCCUCACUCUCACCCUCGUCCGCGCACCUCUCGCCCUACUCGCCUCCGAGCCCGCCGAGGCAGCGCUGCGACUGUUGAUACCAAAAAAUAACACGCCGACCUAACCCACGUAUAAGCCAAAAAAAAUAAGGACACAUGAUACACCAGGAGUCGGCAAUAAGGCGUCUGAAGCUCAAGAGCGUUUAGGCGGGAACGGUUGAGAAGUAGGGCGUAACUUCCAUAAGAAGUGUGGCACAACUUCUAUGAUCAUGGCUAUACCACUUUUCCCACUACUAUAACUAACCAAUAAUGUGGGCUGAUAAGAUAUUAUAAAUAGUAACUUUGAAACCUGUAAUAGGAGUCUUUCUCUCCCUUGAACGAGAAGACCACCGCAUUUUCAAUAUUUUUCUUUUCUGCAUUUAUCGUUUUCAAGGAAUAGUCUACCUGUAAUCUUUUUUAUCCGCAUUUACUGCUUUCCUAGUAGUUUUUAAGUUAUAUCUCUGGAGUUCGUAUGCCCCACAGGCACACUUUGUUGUAAUCUAGAUUUUCAGAGUCUGUAUACCCUUCGGGCAUACUCUACUUUAUUAAUAUAUAAAGGCAUUCGGCUAUUUCAGUCGACCAGUCACUGUGUAUUCUAUAUAUUCGGCUCAUCAGCCGACCCAAAAUUCUGUGUAUUUUAUCAGUUCGGCUCAUCUAGCCGAACCGAUUCUAUAGUAAAGGUUUUCGAACUCGGCUGAUCCGAUCCCUCAUCAGCCGAAUCACUUGAUCCAGUCGAAGGGCACAAACUUCGAGGGUCACUAAUCAUAGCCGUUUUGCAUCCUGACGCGCUUUUUAAGGAGGAUCUUUGACCAGGUCAAGGAUCAGGAAAUUCGGCUCCCAACAAUUUUUGGCAC